AGUGAACGCUGGCGGCAGGCCUAACACAUGCAAGUCGAGCGGCAGCUCGGGGGCAACCCUGGCGGCGAGCGGCGGACGGGUGAGCAAUUCGGCGGAAUAUGCCUAUUUGUGGUGUAGAACGUGGGGAAACUUAGGCUAAUACCGCAUACGCGCUACGGGCGUAAGUGUGGGACCACAAGGCCUUACGCAGAAAGAUGAGCCGACGACCGAUUAGCUAGUUGGCGGGGUAAAGGCCCACCAAGGCGACGAUCCGUAGCUGGUCUGAGAGGAUGAUCAGCCACACUGGAACUGAGACACGGUCCAGACUCCUACGGGAGGCAGCAGUGGGGAAUAUUGGACAAAGGGCGCAAGCCUGAUCCAGCCAUACCGCGUGGGUGAAGAAGGCCUUCGGGUUGUAAAGCCCUUUUGUUGGGAAAGAAAAGCAGCAGGUUAAUACCCCGCUGUUCUGACGGUACCCAAAGAAUAAGCACCGGCUAACUUCGUG
rnacentral:rRNA from 1 species